GACGAACCGUGCGAACGUUGUUCGGAAUCACUGGGCUUAAAGGGCGCGUAGGCGGCCCGCCGCGUCCGGGGUGAAAUCCUCCCGCUCAACGGGAGGACGGCCUCGGAUACGGGCGGGCUGGAGGGGGGUAGGGGCAGGCGGAACUGUGGGUGGAGCGGUGAAAUGCGUUGAGAUCCACAGGAACUCCGGUGGCGAAGGCGGCUCACUGGACCGGCAUUGACGCUGAGGUGCGAAAGCGUGGGGAGCAAACAGG
rnacentral:rRNA from 1 species